rnacentral:rRNA from 1 species
UACGGGGGGGGCAAGCGUUGUUCGGAAUUACUGGGCGUAAAGGGCUCGUAGGCGGCCAACUAAGUCGGACGUGAAAUCCCUCGGCUUAACCGGGGAACUGCGUCCGAUACUGGAUGGCUUGAGUGUGGGAGAGGGAUGCGGAAUUCCAGGUGUAGCGGUGAAAUGCGUAGAUAUCUGGAGGAACACCGGUGGCGAAGGCGGCAUCCUGGACCACGACUGACGCUGAGGAGCGAAAGCCAGGGGAGCAAACGGGG